rnacentral:lncRNA from 1 species
GAGAAAUCAUCAAUAUCAUAAAUGAGACUGCAAAAACAUUUAAUACAACUACCCCAAGGACUAGUAGUACAAGUCAUGAGCCACAGUGAUUUGGAUUUACAAAACUAAUGUGAGAGAUAAAUACAAUAUUUGUUUGAAAGUUACAUAAAGAGAAAUGAAAUCCUAAGUUACUAUGAACAAAAAGUAGCUUGAAUCCGGCACGCUGGUACAACUCUGAUGUAAAGCUCCGUGUUUGCAGCAACUCAACUCCAGAAUCUGCACGCAAGGUGUAAAAGUGUAGUAUGAGUACAACUUACCCCAUAUAUUCAGUAAGUAUCUUGACUAACAUUAGAGAAGCAAUGGCGAGGUUUUUAAGGCAAAAGACACUCACUUUGUAGAACUUGUGCAGCUCAAUAACAUGUAUAAUACAGGAAAAAUAUUCCAGAAAGACAAUCACAGAGUAAAGAAUAUCAACAUUAAAGGUGCACAACUGGGAUGAGGUAAUAAACAAACUCUACCAAUUAGAUAUGAUCAACAAAUACAACUUGCACCAACCCCAGCUCACAAAGAGGUAUGUACUACAUAAAUUUUGUGCUCAAUGCUCAUACAUGACUAUAAAUUUGUGCACAACAUGAUCUGAUUCCAUAUCAAAUGCUAAAUAACAUGUUCAAGAGAACCUUUCAAGAAUCAACUAUAUCAAUGUUCGAUGGCAACUUUCUUAUCUUGACAAUCCGAUAUGCUACCAAAAACUCAACAAAAGAUAAGAUAUCAACUCCACGUAGGUUAACCUAUUUUUACAACAAAAUUAUCAAAUAGAAGAGAAGGCAUAUGAAAUAGCCUGACGAAGCAAAUUCAAUAAUUUAUGAAAAUACAACACGAAGUUCAAGUGAAAACGAGUACAGAAUUAACAAAUUACUUCCAUCCCAUCACAACAAUAAUAUCAGAAAUGACAUCCAGAAACAUCACACAAUCUCAGCAAGAAUAACCCCCAAAACUAUCACAUACAACAUCACAGUACAAUCCGCAUAUCACCGCAUGUACUAAAAUAAAGUAAUUUCCCGCCUUGUCUCGCCAUGCGCAUAUUAACAAAUCAUUCCACCUUGUCUAGCUACAUGUGCAAAUCUGAUAUAACCCUCAUUGUCUAGCCACAUGUGCAAUGUCAACAAUAAUAAUUUCAUGGCAAAGACCUCGUGCUGACACCCCAAUCACAAUCGCACCUUGUGCCACAAUAUCAUCACAAUCGCACGGUAAAGACCUCGUGCCAUAAUAUCAUCACAAUCAAUCCGCUCAACAUGUCCAUAAGUGCCAUAAUCACAACAAUACAAUACAAUAAUUUAUCAUCAAGAGGCAUAUCCUCAUAACUCAUCAAUAAACCUCACAAGGACAUGAAAACAAUAAAAAUGAGGAUAAGGCAUGACUACGACUAAGUAAAGUAUAGAAACCAAG